GUGGGGAAUCUUGCGCAAUGGGCGAAAGCCUGACGCAGCGACGCCGCGUGGGGGAAGAAGGCCUUCGGGUUGUAAACCCCUUUCAGGAGGGACGAAGCCACUCGGGUGAACAGCCCAGAGGGUGACGGUACCUCCAGAAGAAGCCCCGGCUAACUACGUGCCAGCAGCCGCGGUAAUACGUAGGGGGCAAGCGUUGUCCGGAUUUAUUGGGCGUAAAGAGCGUGUAGGCGGCCAGGUAGGUCGGUUGUGAAAACUGAAGGCUCAACCUUCAGACGUCGACCGAAACCAUCUGGCUAGAGUCCGGGAGAGGAGAGUGGAAUUCCUGGUGUAGCGGUGAAAUGCGCAGAUAUCAGGAAGAACACCCGUGGCGAAGGCGGCUCUCUGGAACGGUACUGACGCUGAGACGCGAAAGCGUGGGGAGCGAACAGGAUUAGAAACCCCAGUAGUCC
rnacentral:rRNA from 1 species